UACAGAGGUCUCAAGCGUUGUUCGGAUUUAUUGGGCGUAAAGGGCGCGUAGGCGGCGGGGUAAGUCGGGUGUGAAAUCUCAGGGCUCAACCCUGAAACUGCACUUGAUACUGCUCUGCUUGAGGACUGGAGAGGAGACUGGAAUUCACGGUGUAGCAGUGAAAUGCGUAGAUAUCGUGAGGAAGACCAGUGGCGAAGGCGGGUCUCUGGACAGUUC
rnacentral:rRNA from 1 species